rnacentral:rRNA from 1 species
UAGGGAAUCUUCCGCAAUGGGCGAAAGCCUGACGGAGCAACGCCGCGUGAGUGAUGAAGGUCUUCGGAUCGUAAAACUCUGUUAUUAGGGAAGAAUAAAUGUGUAAGUAACUAUGCACGUCUUGACGGUACCUAAUCAGAAAGCCACGGCUAACUACGUGCCAGCAGCCGCGGUAAUACGUAGGUGGCAAGCGUUAUCCGGAAUUAUUGGGCGUAAAGCGCGCGUAGGCGGUUUUUUAAGUCUGAUGUGAAAGCCCACGGCUCAACCGUGGAGGGUCAUUGGAAACUGGAAAACUUGAGUGCAGAAGAGGAAAGUGGAAUUCCAUGUGUAGCGGUGAAAUGCGCAGAGAUAUGGAGGAAUACCGGUGGCGAAGGCGACUUUCUGGCCAUAAUCUGACGCUGAGGUACGAAAGCGUGGGUAGCAAACAGG